GCAACUUGAAUUUAGGAAUAGGGAGAAAUGUCUGGGGGGAUUGCUGCUCUCAUCAAGAUAACUGCCUGGAAAGACUGUGAGCUGUUUGUUGUUCUUUUUAAAAAUAUUUUUAUGUGUAUUAGAGUUUUGCCUGCAGCUAUGCCAGAGUAAAAGUGUUACAUCUCCUGGAGCUGGAGUUACAGACAUUGUGAGCCUCCAUGUAGGUGCUGGGAAUUGAAGCUCUGUCCUCUGGAAGAGCAGCCAAUGCUCUUAACUGCUGAGCUAUUUCCCAGGAUGUCCUUAUGCUGCCCUGUGUGAGCAGAGGCCAGGCACUGCUAUGUGGAAACGAUCCCAACUUUGGUAGCCUCACAUAUGGGCUUGAAAAGACGACCAUGGGAACCUGACCACAACAGCAUGUACCAGCAACCAUUAUUUAAGGAACCCAGACGAGGUGAGCAGCCCUAACUCCUGUGGGUGACACUGUGUAUGACCUGGGGAAGGAGCAGGAAGAGAUGCCUGUACGUGACUCUCGUGGACAUCUCUCAAGAUGAGAACAGUUGAGCAAAGGUCAGCAGCAGAGUCAGAACUCUUCCCCCAUCACCACAGUGGUCCUCAAGCUGGAGCCAGACAGCCACCCAGGUGACCCAGCUUGGAACAUGUGCUUAGCGCCAUGUUGAGCCAACAACUGAGCCUGAGGACUAACUUCCUAAGUCUCAGUCCCUUUCUCACCGGUCGGGACACCAGUUCCCUGACUUGUCAUGCCUGCGAGAUGUCAGACCUGCCUUCCUUCCUCAUUUCCUCUACAACCCACAAGAACACAGCCAGGACCCC
rnacentral:lncRNA from 1 species